rnacentral:tRNA from 1 species
UUAUCCUUUUAGUAUAAUAAGUAUAUUUAACUUCCAAUUAAAAGGUUUAAUAUUUAAAAAGGAUA